GGAAGCGAUUAUACCAGCACUAAAGCACCGGAUCCCAUCAGAACUCCGAAGCUAAGCGUGCUUGGGCGAGAGUAGUACUAGGAUGGGUGACCUCUAGGAAGUCCUCGUGUUGCAUUCC
rnacentral:rRNA from 1 species